rnacentral:lncRNA from 1 species
UUUUCAUUAAUCAUAAUCAAAUACAUAGUCACAAUCCAUUUGUUACAACACAAUCCAGUCACUAAUAUUGACACUAGAAUCACAUAAGACUAAGUGGCCAAAACAUAUGCAAACAAAGACUCCAUAUUGACUGGACUAUAACACUAGAAUCGUAAAAGACUAAAUGGCCAAAACAUAUAGACCAAGACUCCAUGCCAGGACAUGAGGCAACCCUUCACAAAAUAAACUCCAUUCUAUACUUCGAGUCUUUAACAUAUCCUCCAUCAUCUCAGCGAAAGAAAUACCAAAACCAACUCUGAUCAAUUCCAAAUUGCAACCUGCAUAGAGAAGUAACACCAUGCAAAUGCCAAUACAUGCCAUAUUAUGCACCCAACAACUCUAGCAUGAAAAAUCCAACCCAAGCACACAACAAUCAAUAUUGCUCCAUAAUUUGGUCUGAUAUUGUAUCUAAUUUAAAUGCAUAAAAUAACAUUACAAAGGUAUUCCUUAUUCCACACACAUACAAAUUAACAACUAUAAAAAAUCAUAUUAGAAAUGUGAGACAACACUUAAUUAUUGAAUAAUUGGUAGAGUACUUGGGAUUAACACAACCAGAGUAUUGCAUUUACCUGGGUUAUUCUCCAAUUUUAAUAUCUAAAUCACCAAGGCAACUUCCAAAUGAUAGAGUUGCACGCUAUUCUCUUCCUCUAUGUUCACAUCAUGUAGUGUACUCAAAUUAGAUAUAAACAAAAAUGAUUAACAAAUUGAAUUAAAUCUUUUGCAAAAU